AUUGAACGCUGGCGGCAGGCCUAACACAUGCAAGUCGAGCGAGCGGCGGACGGGUGAGUAAUGUAUGGGGACUGCCCGAUAGAGGGGGAUAACGACUGGAAACGGUAGCUAAUACCGCAUACUAUCGGAUAACCCAUAGGGGAUUAGCUAGUAGGUGAGGUAAUGGCUAACCUAGGCGACGAUCCCUAGCUGGUCUGAGAGGAUGAUCAGCCCCACGUGGGCUGAGACCCGGCCCAGACUCCUGCGGAGGCAGCAGUGGGGAAUAUUGCACAAUGGGCGCAAGCCUUAUGCAGCCAUGCCGCGUGUAUGAAGACGGCCCUGGGGUUGUAAAGUACUUUCAGUCGGGAGGCGUUACCUACAGAAGAAGCACCGGCUAACUCCGUGCCAGCCGCCGCGGUAAUUC
rnacentral:rRNA from 1 species